GAGAAUCGGAUGCGCAUGAAAGAGUUAAAAAAACGUCAUCUCACGGGGUGUAUGCGCAGGGCUCUGAGCACCUCAUCGAUCACAUGUAUUUUAUGAAAUCCCUUCAUUCCUGUCACUGCAUUCAUAGUUCACGAGAAAGAGGACCGGAUUUAAGCCGUUACCUCGCUAUAUUAAAUUGAAAGGUGUAGAUUCGUUCCAGCAUACGUGGUAUGGAUUCAAACCCUCCAGCGCAUAAAUUUUGAUUCGUUUGCAGAGGUUGUUAUUAAAUGUGGCGAUCUGGUUGAACGUCCUUCUCUUUCAUAUGUCGAUCACGUGAAAAUGGUAAAUGAGCUCUGACUUACAGUUCGAAGGUUAAAGCGGGAAAGGUACAAGUUCCGAGCAAUUUUUCGUGCCAUGUAAGUUUUGCCGUCUGUACUGGUUUAGCUUUAGUAGCGUAGUAGGUAGGCCUGAAUAAUUACGCAUGCAAAUUGUUCUUUUCAUAUUAUUAUUAUUUAGCACAUCUUGGAAAUACGGUGAUAACAAUCAAUCGGCGCAAGAGAUUUGCAAAUCUCGACAGACUUGUUGAGGAACCCUAGGAGAGCAGGUAAAUGCUUCCCAGUCAACAGGCUGCCCUUCCAACCACUGCUCAUUUGGCAGAAACUGGGGAAUUGUCAUUUUGCGCUUAACAGAGGAGGCGCUCCCACGGUUUUCCGCAUCGAAAUAUUGUUAAGAUCAUCGGUGAAGCUCCGGGACUUUAUUCAGGUUAAAGGCGCACCCUGGCUUUUCAGGCUUUCCCUCUCAGGUGCCUAGUUGCAAAUUUGUUUCUGUAAAGAUCAAACUCCAGCCAUGGAUCUCUUAAGCGGGGAGAAGGGUGAUGCCGAGUCUGAAACGGGAGAUCAUUCCGUCAUCUCGCUAGAGAAACCAGAAUCCGUUAUGAUUGAGCAAAUGACGAGCUCUGCUAAGCGUGGCGGCGACUGUGAGCGAAAUUCCAUAAUUUCUGCAUCGGAGGAGAAAGGGAAUGAAGAUUUUUCGCAGGUUUCUACUCCGUUGAGCCAAAAAUUUCGCGUGAAUGGAAACCCCAAGUCAAUGGUAGGGCUGGGAGAAAAAAAUAACCCAGACAAUAGUAAUGCCAAUGAGGACGCCAGAGGAUCGAACCCGGCAAACGAUGAAAACACGUCGAGACCAUUUGGUUUGUUUCCCAGUCACGCAGGCAUUGGUUCCCUUGAAUCAAUUGGUGUAUCCGAGCAAAAACGCCCAGCUGUUCACCCCUGGUUAUUUCGUGGAGCCAUGCCUCCUAGCUCACCGGCGUAUUGCUCGGUUGCAGCAUCGUCUACGACAAUUAAGCGCCCUACGGCACAGCUAACCGUUUUCUAUGCCGGAAUGGUAAACGUUUUUGAUGAUGUACCUGCUGACAAGGCGCAAGCAAUCAUGCUUCUUGCAGACAGUGGGAAGCCUGCGAGUAAUGUGUUAAAGAAACCUCCGCAACAGAUCCCAUUCAAUUCGUUUAUAAGUACCCCAUUGAACUCCAUGCCAAGAGCAUCUUUAUCUCUUCCAACUGCUUCUGGUAAUAAAGAAGUUUCUAUUCCUAACCUGCCUCUGUCAGGCCAUCCCAACCAAAACCAACCCUCGUGCAAGUUACAAUCUGAUCUUCCGAUUGCCAGAAAACACUCUCUCCAACGUUUUCUUGAGAAACGCAAGGACAGACUGAGCAGCAAGGCUCCUUACAUUGAAGAGCAUAGGUCGCCUGUUCCUGUUUUGCCUUCCUCCUAGCAUCUCACUCGCUCCAAGUCUUGGCUACUGGAGGAAAGUCCUGCAAAUCCGGUACAGGUACACUUCACAAAGCACGACAAUAUUAUCACUUAGAAAAAAGCUUCACAAAAUUUAUCGAUGGAUAAAUAAAAUCCAAGAGUAUGAUAUUGAUGUUUAGACAACCAAGCUGAUAAGAGGUCAAGGUUUAGCCAUAUCAAAUUUAGAGAUAGUAGAGAUAAGUGAAAAUAAUGAUGAUCAUGAGCUUGAUAGUUGUCCAUUGAAGAAUGAUUGUUGGUACAAAAACAUUAUAUUCUGUUUUCUAAAUAUGAGUUGCCCAACUGAUAUGAGUAAAUACUAACAAAGAAAUUUAAAAGUACAAUUCAAAAGGUAUGUAUUACUCCAUAAUUAUUUGAUGUGGAAAAACCCAAUCAGAUUACUACUCAAAUGUUUGAAUUAGGAGAAACCUAGUGCAAUAAUUGACGAAUUCCAUUAGGGAAUAUGUGGAUGACAUUUCAAGGCUAACAUGAUUGCACAUAGGGCCCUUAGGAUGGGAUUUUGGUGGCCUACUCUAUUCAAGGAUGUAAUAAAUAAGAUAAGGAAAAGUGAUACCUAUCAAAUGUUUGCUGGUAAAAUUAAGUUUGCAAGUUCUCUCCUUUUACUUGUGAUUGAAAGUGCUCCUUUUCAACAUUGGGGAGUUGAUUUCAUAGGUGAGGUACUAGAUAAAUCAAGGAAUG